GUGGAUCCAGAAGAAUGGCAAAUACAUAAAAUGGCCAAAGAGGCUCAACGUAGACACUUCAGGAAAGCAGGACAAGAGCAAGUUUCUGCAUGUUCCAUAAGGACCAUGAUUACCACUCAUGAGUGCAGGCAGCUCAAAGAUGAGAUUGAACGAUUGAUUAGGGACAGUCCCUUAGAAGGUUCACAAGGGAUAAUCGAAACGAUGGACCUUUAGAAAGGAGGGGAUCAACCUUCAGAAGCAAAGAUAUCACCAUCAUAGAGAAGCAUAAUGGCCUAAUUGGUGUAAUCAAUGUCAUUGCAG
rnacentral:misc_RNA from 1 species